rnacentral:rRNA from 1 species
AGUGAACGCUGGCGGUAGGCCUAACACAUGCAAGUCGAACGGCAGCACAGUAAGAGCUUGCUCUUACGGGCGGCGAGUGGCGGACGGGUGAGGAAUACAUCGGAAUCUACUCUUUCGUGGGGGUUAACGUAGGGAAACUUACGCUAAUAUAGCAUACGACCUACGGGUGAAAGCAGGGGAUCUUCGGACCUUGUGCGAUUGAAUGAGCCGAUGUCGGAUUAGCUAGUUGGCGGGGUAAAGGCCCACCAAGGCGACGAUCCGUAGCUGGUCUGAGAGGAUGAUCAGCCACACUAGAGCUGAGACACGGACCAGACUCCUACGGGAGGCAGCAGUGGGGAAUAUUGGACAAAGGGCGCAAGCCUGAUCCAGCCAUACCACGUGUGUGAAGAAGGCCUUCGGGUUGUAAAGCCCUUUUGUUGGGAAAGAAAAGCAGCAGGUUAAUACCCCGCUGUUCUGACGGUACCCAAAGAAUAAGCACCGGCUAACUUCGUG